UAACGUAGGGGGCAAGCGUUGGUCCGGAAUCAUUUGGGCGUAAAGAGGCGUGUAGGCGGUCCGGGUAAGUUCGGCUGUGAAAGUCGAGGGCUCAAACCCUCCGAAUGCCGGCCGAAACUGCCGGGCUAGAGUCCGGAAGAGGCGAGUGGAAUUCCCGGUGUGAGCGGUGAAAUGCGCAGAUAUCGGGAGGAACACCAAUGGCGAAGGCAGCUCGCUGGGACGGUACUGACGCUGAGACGCGAAAAGCGUGGGGAGCAAACAGGG
rnacentral:rRNA from 1 species